GAGAGAGGAGGAGAGAAGAGGAGAGAGGAAGAGAGAGGAAGAGAGAGGAAGAGAGGAGGAGAGAGGAGUAGAGAGGAAGAGAGGAGCAGAGAAGAGGGGAGAGGAGGAUAGAGGAGGAGAGAGGAAGAGAGGAGCAGAGAAGAGGAGAGAGGAGGAGAGAGGAAGAGAGGAGGAGAGAGGAGGCCCCCAGGUUGUGUGGUGGUAGUGGUGUGAUGAAGGUAAGGGAUGGACGGGGUUAAGUUUGGCCAUGGUUUUUCACAGUUGAAGAACAUAAUGGAUCCUGAGCGCAUGAAGAAAUGUCCCCCACACAGUUAACAUAAUAAGAGGGUGCUGAAACCAUUUGAAUAAUUUUAGACAAUACAAAAGUGUUUUUUAACAAAGUUUCUGAAGACACUGGCUAACACACUUGUAUACCACUAUAUUCAAUAUGCAACUAGCUAAAUAAAAAACAAAUCAAAUCAAAUUUUAUUGAACAGGCAGUGGCUCGGGUGAUUGUUGUCCUUGAUGAUCUUUUUGGCCUUCCUGUGACAUCGGCUGGUGUAGGUGUCCUGGAGGGCAGGUAGUUUGCCCCCGGUGAUGCUUUGUGCCGACCUCGCUACCCUCUGGAGAGCCUUACGGUUGUGGGCGGAGCAGUUGCCAUACCAGGCGGUGAUAUAGCCCAAUUGUGCAUCUGUAAAAGUUUGUGAGUGUUUUUGGUGACAAGCCGAAUUUCUUCAGCCUCCUGAGGUGGAAGAGGCGCUAUUGCUCCUUCUUCACCACGCUGUCUCUGUGGGUGGACCAUUUCAGUUUGUUCGUAAUGUGUACGCUGAGGAACUUAAAACUUUCCACCUUCUCCACUACUGUCCUGUUGAUGUGGAUAGGGGGCUGCUCCCUCUGCUGUUUCCUGAAGUCCACGAUCAUCUCCUUUGUUUUGUUGACAUUGAGUGUGAGGUUAUUUUCCUGACACCACACUCCAAGGGCCCUCACCUCCUCCCUGUAGGCCGUCUCGUCGUUGUUGGUAAUCAAGCCUACCACUGUAGUGUCGUCUGCAAACUUGAUGAUUGAGUUGGAAGCGUGCAUGGCCACGCAGUCAUGGAUGAACAGGGAGUACAGGAGAGGGCUGAGAACGCACCCUUGUGGGGCCCCAGUGUUGAGGAUCAGUGGGGUGGAGAUGUUGUUUCCUACCCUCACCACCAGGGGGCGGCCCGUCAGGAAGUCCAGGACCCAGCUGCACAGGGCAGGGUCGAGACCCAGGGUCUCGAGCUUAAUGACGAGUUUGGAGGGUACUAUGGUGUUCAAUGAACAGCAUUCUUACAUAGGUAUUCCUCUUGUCCAGAUGGGUUAGGGCAGUGUGCAGUGUGAUUGCGAUUGCGUCGUCUGUGGACCUAUUGGGUCGGUAAGCAAAUUCUAGUGGGUCUAGGGUGUCAGGUAGGGUGGAGGUGAUAUGGUCCUUGACUAGUCUCUCAAAGGACUCCAUGAUGACGGAAGUGAGUGCUAUGGGGCGAUAGUCAUUUAGCUCAGUUACCUUAGCUUUCUUGGGAACAGGAACAAUGGUGGCCCUCUUGAAGCAUGUGGGAACAGCAGACUGGGAUAAGGUUUGAUUGAAUAUGUCCGUAAACACACCAGCCAGCUGGUCUGAACAUUCUCUGAGGACGCGGCUGGGGAUGCCGUCUGGGCCUGCAGCCUUACAAGGGUUAACACGUUUAAAUGUUUUACUCACUGGCUGCAGUGAAGGAGAGCCCACAGGUUUUGGUAGCAGGCCGUGUCGGUGGCACUGUAUUGUCCUCAAAGCGAGCAAAGAAGUUAUUUAGUUUGUCUGGGAGCAAGACGUCGAGGUCCGCGACGGUGCUGGUUUUCUUUUUGUAGUCCAUGAUUGACUGUAGACCCUGCCACAUACCUCUCGUGUCUGUGCCGACUCUACUUUGUCUCUAUGCUGACGCUUAGCUUGUUUGAUUGCUUUGCGGAGGGAAUAUCUACAGUAUUUGCAUUCAGUCAUGUUUCCAGUCGCCUUGCCCUGAUUAAAAGCCGUGGUUCGUGCUUUCAGUUUUGCCAUCAAUCCACGUUUUCUGGUUGGGGAAGGUUUAAAUAGUCGCUGUGGGUACAACAUCACCGAUGCACUUGCUAAUAAACUCAAUCACCGAAUCAGCGUAUUCAUCAAUGUUGCUGUCCGACGCUAUGCAGAACAUAUCCCAGUCCACGUGUUUGAAGCAAUCUUGAAGCGUGGAAUCCGAUUGGUCGGACCAGCGUUGAACAUAGUUGAGCACGGGAGUUUCCUGUUUUAGUUUCUGUCUAUAGGCUGGGAGUAACGAAAAUUGAGUCAUGGUCAGAUUUUCCAAAAGGAGGGCGGUGGAGGGCUUUGUUUGCAUCGCGGAAGUUAGAAUAACAAUGAUCCAGGGUUUUGCCAGCCCGGAUCGCGCAUUCGACAUGCUGAUACUAUUUAGGGAGCCUUGUGUUCAGAUUAGCCUUGUUAAAAUCCCCAGCUACAAUAAAUGCAGCCUCAGGAUAUGUGGUUUCUAGUUUACAUUGAGUCCAAUGAAGUUCUUUCAGGGCCGUCGAUGUGUCUUCUUGGGGGGGAUUUACAGGACUGUGAUUAUAAUCAAAGAGAAUUUCAGCAUUUGAUUGUAAAGAAUUCGAGGUCAGGUGAACAAAAGUACUUGAGUUCCUGUAUGUUGUUGUGAUCACACCAUGUCUCGUUAAUCAUAAGGCAUACACCCUUCUUCUUACCAGAGAGAUGUUUGUUUCUGUCGGCGCGAUGCGGGAAGAAACCAGUUGACUGUACCGACUCUGAUAACGUAUCCCGAGUGAGCCAUGUUUCCGUGAAACAGAGAAUGUUACAAUCUCUGAUGUCUCUCUGGAAGGCAACCCUUGCUCAGAUUUCGUCUACCUUGUUGUCAAGAGACGGGACAUUGGCUAGUAGUAAACUCGGGAGAGGUGUGCUAUUUGCCCGUCUACGGAGCCUGACCAGAAGACCCCACCGUCUGACCCUUCUGCGUCGUCGUUGUUUUGGGUCGCCGGCUGUGAUGAGAUCAAUUGUCCUGGGUGGUGAACCAAACAGAGGAUCCACUUCGGGAAAAUUGUAUUCCUGUAAUGUUGGUGAGGAGCAGGAGAAACAGAGAGAAAGAAGAUUUGGAAGAGAAGGAGAGUGGGAGUGGGUGGAAGGAGAGGAAAAGAAUGGAGCAGUGAGUGGUGAACCAGGGAGCAGGUGAACCCAGUAGUGGAUGGCCAUAGGCUCUCUGGCUCUUCUCUGCUCCGUGCAGGGGUCUCAGGGAGCUGGCUGGGGCCAGCCAGGCAACGGCGGAGUGGGCAGGCGAGUCGAGGCGAGGGGAGGCAAAGUAGGCUCUCAUCCCCGCUGGCAAGUUGCUCCUCGGCAGCGCGGAGUAGCAAAUCAAUAUGGAGGAGAGAGGCUAGCAGGGGUCGCCCAGCAUUGCCCCUGGCCCUAGAGCCCAGGGACCCAGCGCUGCCAGCCCUCUCUUCCCUCUCCCAGUCCUAGAACCAGCCAACCCGCACUGUGUAUGUGUAUUUGAGUGAGUGUGUGUGUGUGUGUGUGUGUGUGUGUGUGUGUGUGUGUGUGUGUGUGUGUGUGUGUGUGUGUGUGUGUGUGUGUGUGUGUGUGUGUGUGUGUGUGUGUGUGUGUGUGUGUGUGUGUGUGUGUGUGUGUGUGUGUGUGUGUGUGUGUGUGUGUGUGUGCGUGCGUGCGUGCAUGUGUGUGUGUUAGAGCACGUCUGUGUGUGUGGUUCCGCCGGAGGGGCUUUCCUGGCUCAAGACCACUUGAUAUAACUUUGCCUGUGAGCGAGAGAGCGAAGGAGAGAGAGAAUAAAAAAUGGACGUCAAAGGUCUUUUUCUCCUAUUUUUCCCUCUGAUUACUCGUUUCACCUGACUGUUUGAAUGAGAGUUCAGUGAAAAGGCCUCUUCCAUUGAAUUGAACAGGCGUCUCUCGUCAGUCCCCCUCCAGUCAUGAACUGUACAGCCACCAUGCUCUCCACAUCUGAUGAACCAGGAUAAAAGGCCAAUUUGAACUACAGAUUUAGAUUAAAUCUUGUAUUUUUUGCCUCCCAUUUUCUUCCUUAUGACUCAGGUCACUAUCAGAGGAUAUGGCAGAGGUUAUUGAUCUAAAUGGAGAUGGAUUUAGUCCAGUACCUUUCACUGUCUGCGGUGGUUACAUGCUGUAGUAGUAACUGAUAACUUCACUAUACAACUGAACUACAUUCAGGAGGGAAGGAGUCCUAAUUGAGUGAAAGAUGAAAAGGACUGUGGACAUAUUUUAUAGUGCCUGAACAGUGGCCCUCUCCACCAGUUCUAUUUUUCCUUCAUAGUUGAAGAAUCCACACAAUAAGCCCUAUCUUUAGAUACUCAAAAAACUACCAAAAAAUCCAAUGGAAUGAAAAUGACUCAAUCAUUGCUGAAUGGAAAGCCUGAGAUGCAAAAUGCAGAAUUUUAUUUUUUCAUUGGGGAAGAAAAGGAUUGUCCAUAUCUGCUGGGCUGAAGAGGACAAACGGGUCAGAGCUAGUUUGGGCCUGCAACAGGAACACCUGCACAGAGAGAGAUCUACAAACAACACAAUGGGGGCAGACUUCACUUGAUGCUGAGGCUACAAUGGCAAUGCAGUGAAAGGAUCAAGCAUCAAUGUCCUGACCAGACCUGACCAGACCUGACCAGAACUGACCAGACCUGCAUAAUGUCCUGACCUGACCUGACCAGACCUGACCAGACCUGACCAGACCUGACCAGAACUGACCAGACCUGCAUAAUGUCCUGACCUGACCUGACCAGACCUGACCAGACCUGACCAGACCAGACCAGAACUGACCAGACCUGACCAGAACUGACCAGACCUGCAUAAUGUCCUGACCUGACCUGACCAGACCAGACCUGACCUGACCUGACCAGACCUGACCAGACCUGACCUGACCAGACCAGACCUGACCAGACCAGACCAGACCUGACCUGACCAAACCUGACCUGACCUGACCUGACCUUACCUGACCAGACCUGACCAGACCUGACCAGACCUGACCAGACCAGACCAGACCAGACCAGACCAGACCUGACCUGACCAUAGACCUGACCAGACCUGACCAGACCAGACCAGACCUGACCAGACCAGACCUGACCAGACCAAACCUGACCUGACCUGACCUGACCAGACCAGACCUGACCUGACCAAACCUGACCUGACCUGACCUGACCUGACCUGACCUGACCUGACCUGACCUGACCUGACCUGACCUAACCUUACCUGACCAGACCUGACCAGACCUGACCAGACCAGACCUGACCUGACCAGACCUGACCUGACCAGACCUGACCUGACCUAACCUUACCUGACCAGACCUGACCAGACCUGACCAGACCAGACCUGACCUGACCAGACCUGACCAGACCAGACCAGACCUGACCAGACCUGACCAGACCAGACCUGACCUGACCAGACCAGAGACCUGACCUGACCAGACCUGACCAGACCAGACCUGACCUGACCUGACCUGACCAGACCUGACCAGACCUGACCAGACCAGACCAGACCUGACCAGACCAGACCUGACCAGACCAGACCUGACCAGACCUGACCUGACCAGACCAGACCUGACCAGACCAGACCAGACCUGACCAGACCAGACCUGACCAGACCAGACCAGACCAGACCAGACCUGACCUGACCAGACCAGACCUGACCUGACCAGACCUGACCAGACCUGACCUGACCUGACCUGACCAGACCAGACCUGAC